rnacentral:rRNA from 1 species
UACGGGGGGAGCAAGCGUUGUUCGGAUUUACUGGGCGUAAAGGGCGCGUAGGCGGUAGCACAAGUCAGUUGUGAAAUCUCCGGGCUUAACUCGGAAAGGUCAACUGAUACUGUGCGACUAGAGUGCAGAAGGGGCAACUGGAAUUCUCGGUGUAGCGGUGAAAUGCGUAGAUAUCGAGAGGAACACCUGCGGCGAAGGCGGGUUGCUGGGCUGACACUGACGCUGAGGCGCGAAAGCCAGGGGAGCGAACGGGG